AGGAGUUCAUGGCUUCCAUGACAACCUCUUAAAUUAUACGGAGCCCAAUGCUGGGGGCUCACAAUAGCAGGCUUCAGACAUUGAUUCAGCAUACAGGAGCUACUUGAGUCAC
rnacentral:lncRNA from 11 species